AAAGUACUCCCUCCGUCCCAAAAUUCUUGUCUUAGAUUUGUCUAGAUACGGAUGUAUCAAGUCACAUUUUAGUAUUAGAUACAUCCGUAUCUAGACAAAUCUAAGACAAGAAAUUUGGGACAAAAGGAGUAGUUG
rnacentral:pre_miRNA from 1 species